rnacentral:hammerhead_ribozyme from 1 species
AUUCAGCUGACGAGUCUUAUAUAGGACGAAACGCACAUCAAGCUGGAU